AAGUCGAUCCUUAUUAAUUCUUCCUCCAGCUUUUAGAUGGUCUGUAAUUAACCAAAUUUAUGAGUCAGCUUUACACUUAGGAUGGGGCCUUAGAUGAGGCCUAUGAUUAUUACUGGUUUGAUAACAUGUCUAAGCGUAUUCGAAAAUUUGUAGAAGAAAUGUCAGUUAUUCUCAGGUAAAAUUCAAGCUAGCCUGCAUCCAAUACCAAAAGUCGAUAUGCCUUGGCACACUAUCCAAAUAGAAGAAGUGGGAAGUUAAAGCAGCAAGUAUUAUCAAAAGGAAUAUAUUAUUGUCGAAGUAAACGCCUUUACUAAAUUUGUCUAUCUUAUUCACACUCUUAAAAUUUAUGCUGAAAAUUUCAUAAAUGGAGUAAAAUUCGCUGUAUCUGUACCAAACUGCAUAAUAACGGAUAAGGGAAGGUACGAGGUGCUGAUGGACAGGUAGAAGUCAUCAUAAGCACCUUGAAAAACCUAUUGACUGCAGUUAAGACUAGCAGCCGGUCUUGGCAAGAUGCAUUUGGUGAGGUUCAGUUGGCUUAAAAUUGUACGGUAAACCGAGUGACAAAGGCAAGGUUUCUCGACCGUUGGGAUUACUUCCCCCUUGUGAUACGGCCCACGAGAUUGAUUUGGCAGAAGUAAGAGCUCAAUGAGUACAAAAUAUAAAUCAAAGCAGUACAAAAGCAGCAGCAACAUAGAAUAAAAUAAAAACAAAAAAGAACAACGAAUGCAGAGCUAGGUAGCAACAAAAUUCUUCGUCGCAUGAUUUGGACCAUAACGGCAGGAGCGCAAUCAGGCUAUAUCAAAAAUCCAAUCUAACCUGCUUUAUCGGUGGAGAGGUUGGCCAUAUGCACACUGCAGGAAGCCCAAAAUGGACAAAGGAAAGUUAACGUAUCAGUCAAAAAGAGUAGAGAUUUGCGACGUCAUUGAACCCAAAGGAGAGACGGUACAAGCGGACGGUACAGCAGUGCAAAAGCAGCAACCACAUAGAAUAAGAUAAAAACAAGGCUAAAAUUGUUGGAUACAAGAGGUCCCUUUCAAAUAGCUGAACUAUUAGACGGUGAUAGAUAAAUGCUCAGGUCAUUUAUUUACGAAUAUUAGAAAAUACAAGUAUGAACACGAUGAUAUAGAAAAACUGGCAGAUAGACAUGUACCAGCUGAGUUGGAAAGUUGGGAUGAUGAUUUGAAUAAAAUGAUUAAAAUAGAAACUGUUAAAAGAGACAGUAAA